rnacentral:rRNA from 1 species
UUGACGGGACCCGCACAAGCGGUGGAUGAUGUGGUUAAUUCGAUGCAACGCGAAAACCUUACCCACCUUUGACAUGUACGGAACCCUUUAGAGAUAGAGGGGUGCUCGAAAGAGAGCCGUAACACAGGUGCUGCAUGGCUGUCGUCAGCUCGUGUCGUGAGAUGUUGGGUUAAGUCCCGCAACGAGCGCAACCCUUGUCAUUAGUUGCUACAUUCAGUUGGGCACUCUAAUGAGACUGCCGGUGACAAGCCGGAGGAAGUGGGGAUGACGUCAAGUCCUCAUGGCCCUUAUAGGUGGGGCUACACACGUCAUACAAUGGCUGGUACAAAGGGUUGCCAACCCGCGAGGGGGAGCCGAUCCCAUAAAGCCAGUCGUAGUCCGGAUCGUAGUCUGCAACUCGACUACGUGAAGUCGGAAUCGCUAGUAAUCGUGGAUCAGAAUGUCACGGUGAAUACGUUCCCGGGUCUU